AGAGUUUGAUCCUGGCUCAGAAUCAACGCUGGCGGCGUGCCUAACACAUGCAAGUCGAACGAGAAAGUGGAGCAAUCCAUGAGUAAAGUGGCGACCGGGUGAGUAACACGUGACUAACCUACCCUCGAGUGUGGAAUAACAUCGGGAAACCGAUGCUAAUACCGCAUAAUAUCCACGGAUCAAAGGAGCAAUUCGCUUGAAGAGGGGGUCGCGGCUGAUUAGUUAGUUGGCGGGGUAAUGGCCCACCAAGACAAUGAUCGGUAGCCGGCCUGAGAGGGCGCACGGCCACACUGGAACUGAAACACGGUCCAGACUCCUACGGGAGGCAGCAGUGGGGAAUCUUGCGCCAUGGGGGAAACCUGACGCAGCACGCCGCGUGGAGGAUGAAGUCCUGGGACGUAACUCCUUCGACUGGANAUAUGACGUACAGUGGAGAGC
rnacentral:rRNA from 1 species